rnacentral:misc_RNA from 1 species
CGCACAUUGCGCCCGCUAGUAUUCUGGCGGGCAUGCCUGUUCGAGCGUCAUUUCAACCCUCAGGCCCUCUGGCGCCUGGCGUUGGGGAUCGGCCGUACGUGCCGGCCCCGAAAUACAGUGGCGGUCCCGUUGCGGAACUCUGCGUAGUAAAACAAACCUCGCAGCUGGGAAGCGACGGCGGCCACGCCGUGAAACACCCCACUUCUGAAAGUUGACCUCGGAUCAGGUAGGAAUACCCGCUGAACUUAA